ACUUUUGGUUUUGUUUUGUAUUCUAAUCCUCUGCCUUGUGGAAGGCAGCUCAGUGGAGAGAAAGGAAAUUCCCAGGACAGGCUUUUUUUUUCUUUAAAGUAUAUCAGAAAAACACAGCUAAACUAAGGGACAGCGUUACAGGUCUCACCAAGUUGUCAUGAGGCAGCUUCCUCCCUUGGUCUAAAAGAUCUCUGCUACUGACCUUACAGUUAAGAUCAGAGGACACCCUAGACAUGGCCUCAGGGGUGCACAUGCCCGAACCACAGUGCCUCAUUGAGAACAUCAAUGGGCGACUGGCGGUGAACCCGAAAGCGCUGAAGCUCCUGUCUGCCAUCAAGCAGCCCCUGGUGGUGGUGGCUAUCGUGGGCCUGUACCGCACAGGCAAAUCCUACCUGAUGAACAAGCUGGCUGGGAAGAACAAGGGCUUCUCUGUGGGCUCCACGGUGCAGUCUCACACAAAGGGCAUCUGGAUGUGGUGCGUGCCUCACCCCAGGAAGCCAGACCACACCCUGGUCCUUCUGGACACCGAGGGACUCGGGGAUGUGGAGAAGGGCGACAAGAAAAAUGACACCCAGAUCUUUGUGCUGGCACUGUUACUGAGCAGUACCUUUGUAUACAACACCAUGAACAAAAUUGACCAGAGGGCAAUCGACCUCUUGCACUACGUGGCAGAACUAGCCACAUGGCUCCAAACAGUAUCCUCAACUGAUGCUGACGAGGUGUCGGGUCCAGAGGACUCUGUGAGCAACUGUCCAGACUUAGUGUGGACUCUGAGAGAUUUCUUCCUUGACCUGGAAGUAAAUGGACACCCCAUCACAACAGAUGAAUAUCUGGAGAAUUCGCUGAGGCCAAAGCCAGGGGCUGAUAAAAGUCUUCAGAAUUUUAAUUUGCCCCGUCAGUGUAUACAGAAAUUCUUUCCCACAAAGAAAUGCUUUAUUUUUGACUCCCCCACUCAUCGGAAGAAGCUUGCCCAGCUUGAGACGCUACAUGAUGAUGACUUGGAACCGGACUUUGUACAACAAGUGGCGGAAUUCUGUUCCUACAUCUUCAGCCACUCCAAAUCUAAAACUCUUCCAGAAGGCAGCAAGGCCAAUGGGUCCCAUCUAGAGAGAGUGGUGCUGACCUACGUGAAAGCCAUCAGCAGUGGGGACCUGCCCUGUGUGGAGAACACAGUCCUGGCCUUGGCGCAGGUUAAGAACUCGGCUGCAAUGAAAACGGCCAUUGCCCACUAUGACCAGCUGAUGGGCCAGAAUCUGCACCUGCCCACAGAGACCCUGCAGGAGCUGCUGGACCUGCACAGGAUCUGUAAGAAAGUGGCCAUCGAAGUAUUCGUAAUGAAUUCUUUCAAGGAUGUGGACCACGGGUUCCAGAAAAAAUUAGAGACCCUGCUAGAAGCCAAACAGAAUGAACUUCAUGAAAGGAACUUGAAGACAUCACUAGACCGUUGCUCAUCUUUACUUCAGGUUAUUUUUGAACCUCUAGAAGAAGAAGUGAAACAGGGGUUUUAUUCAAUACCAGGGGGGCAUCGUCUCUUCAUGCAGAGGAGAGAAGAGCUGAAGGCAGUGUACUAUCAGGUGCCCUGGAAAGGGCUACAGGCUGAAGAAGCUCUGCGGAAAUAUUUACAGUCCAAGGAGUCUAUGAAUGUUACGAUUUUCCAGACAGAUCUGGCUCUCACACAAAGGGAGAAGGAGAUGGAAGCUCAGAGGCACGUUUGCAAGCAGAGGCUGUAAACUUUAAGGUACAAGUGUUAGCAGCCAUCCUAACACAGCAACACCAAAUGAUGGAGCAGCGGCAAAGAUUCUAUCAGGAACAAGUGAGACGAAUGGAAAUAAACAGACUGCACCAGCAGGUAUUGCAACAGAGAGCCCAGGAACGUUAUCUCCAGGAAGAAGCUAAAAGGAUCCAGGAGAGAGCCCAAGCUGAGAACAAGAGACUUCAAGAUGAGCUCGAGCAUCUGCAGAUAAAUGACUCGAAUGAUGAUAAAUGUAUCAUACUUUAAAGAGCUAAACACAAAAACUUCCCUUUCUUGUUCACUUUCCCUGAAGACACAAGGGAACACGAAACUGUAAAACCUGAGACAAUCACUAUUUGAAUAAACUUCACAAUAAUUAUAUUGAACUUACAUGUGGAAUCUAAAAAAAGGAUGCAAUGAACCUCUUUGCAGAACA